CUGAUUUCAUUUCUUAGCAUAAAUAUAAAGUGAAUGCUUUACCUUGGGAGUAUCGAUCACAGGAUGCAAGGAUUUCAGACAGGUAUCUGGAGCUGCAGGUAAAAGUUAGUUCCUAGUUUUUCUCUCUCUAAAUUUCUCUCUUGAGUCAAAGUCUGCAUCCAUUGCAGGAUCAGUGACCAAGAUUGGACAUGCUUCCAUGAAUCAAAACUUAUUGGUGGUUGCCACCAAGUUCUGUUCACUUCUUUUUGACCUAUAUCCAAGAGUUCUUUGCGAAAGCGAGCCUUGAAGAUUGCCGCCUCCAAGUCCCGUUUCGAACUCUUUAAUUUGAGUCUUUAUGAAUCAAGCCUUACUUGUUUUAGCCACCAAGUCCUGUUCAUACUCAUCCUAAUUAAACAAUAGAUCUUAUUUAUUUUUAUUUUUUUUUAUUAUAUAUAUAUAUACUUUUUUUUAAUAUAUAGACUAACUAAUCUAGGUUCGAAAUCUAGAGAGAGAAAGUGUGAUAAAUAAUCUAAACCAAGCGUUACCUUCCAG
rnacentral:lncRNA from 1 species